rnacentral:tRNA from 1 species
GUUCUCGUGGCGUAGUGGUCAUCGCGUUUGUCUUACAUAAUCAAUAAAAUUGAGCACAAAAGGUCCCCGGUUCGAUCCCGGGCGAGAACA